rnacentral:tRNA from 6 species
GUCCCCAUCGUCUAGAGGCCAAGGACACCGCCCUUUCACGGCGGUAACAGGGGUUCGAAUCCCCUUGGGGACGCCA